rnacentral:rRNA from 1 species
GGUGGCUCAGCCUAUCGGGCUCAAUUUCUUGGUUUGGUUGACAUGGAGAUACCCCUAAUGGUGUGGAAGAAUAGGGCACCACCUAAAUGCAAAUUCUUUGCUUAGCUGGUCAUCAAUAAUAGGAUUUGGACAGCUAAUCGGCUUCAGCGAUGGGGAUGGCCUAUAUGCAAUCUUUGCUCUAUCUGCAAACAAGUAUAGGAGUCAGCGACUCAUCUUCUUUUCCAGUGCUACUACACAAUCUGGGAGAUGAUUAAGUCUUGGCUUGGACUAGUGGAUGUGCAUCCUUCAGGCUGGGUGGUGUUGAAUUCUGUCAAAGAUUGGUGGAGUCUUAAUGCUUGUAGCUUUUCGCAGUCCUGACAGGUGCUCAUCUCCCUAAUGAUCCUCAUCUCGUGGGAGAUAUGGAACGAGCGAAAUGCUCACAUUUUCUGCAACAAAGCGGUGCCGGUGGGUGUCAUCGUGGCAAAAGUCAAAGAGAUAGCUUCGCUUUGGUGCCUCAUGGGGACCAAAUUUUUGUGUAAUGUUAUGCCGUGA